ensembl:lncRNA
GGGUGAGAGGGAAGGAGAGGCAGCAGCCUGCGUCCCAACAAGUCUGCCAGCGAGUUCCUAUGCAUCUCAAGUCUGAGAACCACACACCAGCAGCCCCCAGCCCUGAUCACAGACAGCCCCUGGCUCCUGUCAGCUUUUCAGGAGCCCGGCCAGCCCGGACAGGUGGAGGUCACAGGCGGAGUCUCUCACCUCCCCAGGUCUGCGCUGGAGUGGGCCCCGUCCCUCCUUUCCUCAGCUCCUCCCCACCCCUGGUUGCCACCUGGUUUCACUUUACUUGCAGGCCAGCCGAGGAGCCAGGGCUCCCUGAGUCUCAGCUUAUGCUCAGCCUUCUGACUCCUGUCAAGGUGGUGGGGAGGGGUGUGUGGGCCCAGAGCCAGGGCGCUUCUGAACCCGUCUCCCUGUGCCGCGCUUCUCCCUCUUCGGCGCCCCUGAGUCCUGGGCCGGGGGCUCUCUUUUCCAUGUCACAGCCCUCUGGGGGUAAGGCCCCAUCUCCCAACUCCUGGGACUGGAGGAGCUUGAGAAUGUAAUGCGACCUUGCGGGAGGGGACACAGUUUCUCCCCCCACCUUUGGUGCUGGGCUGCCCUCCUCACCCCUCACUCUGACCACAGUGGGGUAUCGGUUCACCCCACUCUUCCCCAUCGCCCACCCUCAGCUCCUGCCUCCUCCAGGUCUCUCCCUGUGCCUGUGCCCUGCCCCAGCCUGGCGGUAGGUGAUUCCCAUCCUCUAGCCCAGCCUGUGCCCUGCCCCAGCCUGGCGGUAGGUGAUUCCCAUCUUCUAGUCCAGCCUCCACAGGAGGAAGAGGCGGAGGGGCAUUUCCAACAUGAUUCUCAACCUUUCUAUCCAUGUAUAUUAACACCAGGCCUGCCGGCGCUCACAGAAAGAACCUGAUUUGGAAACAAACACACAAGCCCUGGAGGCUGACCAGUUUGUGAGCUUUUCAGUCCCACCCUUAGCACCCUGACGCUCACUCCAGGCAAUGUGGGUGAUUAUCAGGAGCAGCAGCUGCAGCUGGGACUCUGUGCCCACCACUCUCGUGUGACCCUCAGCAGACACCCAACCUCUCUGAGCAUCGGCCUCUCAGCUGGGAAACCUCAGCCUCCCAGGGACUGUGCCAGACCCCCCACCCAUUCCCCCGAAGACUCCAGUGUGGACCGAGAACCGCAAGGACCCCCCACCCAUUCCCCUGAAGACUCCAGUGUGGACCGAGAACCGCAAGGACCCCCCACCCAUUCCCCCAAAGACUCCAGUGUGGACCGAGAACCACAAGGACCCCCCCCACCCAUUCCCCCGGAGACUCCAGUGUGGACCGAGAACCGCAGGACCCCCAGCCAUUCCCCCAAAGAUUCCAGUGUGGACCGAGAACUGCAACCCAGAAAUAGGCAUCUCUGUUGAUCAGACUGUCUCACAUGGAGACUCGAGGGCAAGACUGACCUGCCCUCAGGAUGCCUAGGAUUCCCACCACAGGGGAACAGGCCAGUUUGAUCCAGAAAUUCCAGGCAAGGCUGGGUGUGAUGGUUCAUGCCUGUAAUCCCAGCACUUCGGGAAGCUGAGGCGGAAGGAUGGUUUGAGCUCAGGAGUUGAAGACCAGUGAGGGCAAUAUAGGGAAAUCCCAUCUCAACAAAAAAUUUACAACUCAGCCAGGCAUGGUGGCACCCACCUCUAGUCCCAGCUACUCAGGAGGCCGAAGCGGUAGGAUUGCCUGAGCCGGGGAGUUCAAGGCUACAGUGAGCCGUGAUCUCGCCACUGCCCUCC